rnacentral:rRNA from 1 species
AGUGAACGCUGGCGGUAUGCCUAACACAUGCAAGUCGAACGGCAGCACAGUAAGAGCUUGCUCUUACGGGUGGCGAGUGGCGGACGGGUGAGGAAUACAUCGGAAUCUACUUUUUCGUGGGGGAUAACGUAGGGAAACUUACGCUAAUACCGCAUACUACCUACGGUUGAAAGCAGGGGAUCUUCGGACCUUUCGCGAUUGAAUGAGCCGAUGUCGGAUUAGCUAGUUGGCGGGGUAAAGGCCCACCAAGGCGACGAUCCGUAGCUGGUCUGAGAGGAUGAUCAGCCACACUGGAACUGAGACACGGUCCAGACUCCUACGGGAGGCAGCAGUGGGGAAUAUUGGACAAUGGGCGCAAGCCUGAUCCAGCCAUACCGCGUGGGUGAAGAAGGCCUUCGGGUUGUAAAGCCCUUUUGUUGGGAAAGAAAAGCAGCAGGUUAAUACCCCGCUGUUCUGACGGUACCCAAAGAAUAAGCACCGGCUAACUUCGUG